AGAAACACCGGUUCCCAUAUGAUCACUGACAUUAAGCAACAUCGAGCCUGGUCAGUACCUAGAUGGGUGACCACUUCAGAAUACCAGU